AAAGGUCCCGCCUGCCCAGUGAAACUUUUCAACGGCCGCGGUAUUCUAACCGUGCAAAGGUAGCGUAAUCACUUGUCUUCUAAAUAAAGACCAGUAUGAACGGCUAAAUGAGGACAAACCUGUCUCUUAUAAUUAAUCAGUGAAACUGAUCUCCCAGUACAAAAGCUGGGAUUAUAACAUAAGACGAGAAGACCCCGUGGAGCUUGAAAUUUCCACUAACCCAUACGGGCCCUAGUUUACUAUUUUAAGUUGGGGCGACUUCGGAACAAAACAAAACUUCCGAGCACAGAACCACCACUUCUAACCGAGGCCAACAAGCCUAAGUAUAAACUGACCCGGCUCACGCCGAUCAACGAACCAAGUUACCCCGGGGAUAACAGCGCUAUCUUCUUCAAGAGUCCCUAUCAACAAGAAGGUUUACGACCUCGAUGUUGGAUCAGGACACCCAAAUGGUGCAGCCGCUAUUAAAGGNUCGUUUGUUCAACGAUUAACAGUCCUACAUGAUC
rnacentral:rRNA from 1 species